rnacentral:rRNA from 1 species
GUGGAUUAGAUACCCGGGUAGUCCACGCCGUAAACGAUGAUAACUAGCUGUCCGGGUUCAUAGAAUUUGGGUGGCGCAGCUAACGCAUUAAGUUAUCCGCCUGGGGAGUACGGUCGCAAGAUUAAAACUCAAAGGAAUUGACGGGGGCCUGCACAAGCGGUGGAGCAUGUGGUUUAAUUCGAAGCAACGCGCAGAACCUUACCAGCGUUUGACAUCCUAAUCGCGGAUCGUAGAGAUACUUUCCUUCAGUUCGGCUGGAUUAGUGACAGGUGCUGCACGGCCGUCGACAACU